rnacentral:rRNA from 1 species
GAGUUUGAUCGUGGCUCAGAUUGAACGCUGGCGGCAUGCCUUACACAUGCAAGUCGAACGGCAGCAUGAUCUAGCUUGCUAGAUUGAUGGCGAGUGGCGAACGGGUGAGUAAUACAUCGGAACGUGCCCUGUAGUGGGGGAUAACUAGUCGAAAGAUUAGCUAAUACCGCAUACGACCUGAGGGUGAAAGUGGGGGACCGCAAGGCCUCAUGCUAUAGGAGCGGCCGAUGUCUGAUUAGCUAGUUGGUGGGGUAAAGGCCCACCAAGGCGACGAUCAGUAGCUGGUCUGAGUGGACGAUCAGCCACACUGGGACUGAGACACGGCCCAGACUCCUACGGGAGGCAGCAGUGGGGAAUUUUGGACAAUGGGCGAAAGCCUGAUCCAGCAAUGCCGCGUGUGUGAAG